rnacentral:rRNA from 2 species
AAAGGAGUAAAUAACUAAAAUAUUUUUAUAUA